ensembl:lncRNA
AGGAGUACCAGUACCAGAUCAAUGUGGAGCUAUAAACAGGGAGUACCAGUACCAGAUCAAUGUGGAGCUAUAAACAGGGAGUACCAGAUCAAUGUGGAGCUAUAAACAGGGAGUACCAGUACCAGAUCAAUGUGGAGCUAUAAACAGGGAGUACCAGAUCAAUGUGGAGCUAUAAAUAGGGAGUACCAGUACCAGAUCAAUGUGGAGCUAUAUACAGGGAGUACCAGUACAAGAUCAAUGUGGAGCUAUAUACAGGGAGUACCAGUACCAGAUCAAUGUGGAGCUAUAAACAGGGAGUACCAGAUCAAUGUGGAGCUAUAAACAGGUAGUACCAGUACCAGAUCAAUGUGGAGCUAUAUACAGAGAGUACCAGUACCAGAUCAAUGUGGAGCUAUAAACAGGGAGUACCAGUACCAGAUCAACAUGGAGCUAUAAACAGGGAGUACCAGAUCAAUGUGGAGCUAUAAACAAGGAGUACCAGUACCAGAUCAACAAGGAGCUAUAAACAGAGAGUACCAGUACCAGAUCAAUGUGGCGCUAUAAACAGGGAGUACCAGUACCAGAUCAAUGUGGAGCUAUAAACAGGGAGUACCAGUACCAGAUCAAUGUGGAGCUAUAAACAGGGAGUACCAGUACCAGAUCAAUGUGGA